GACGAACGCUGGCGGCGUGCUUAACACAUGCAAGUCGAACGGUGAAGCGCCUUCCUUUUUGGUGGGUGUGGAUGAGUGGCGAACGGGUGAGUAACACGUGAGUAACCUGCCCCCUUCUUCUGGAUAACCGCAUGAAAGUGUGGCUAAUACGGGAUAUUCUGGGUCUGUCGCAUGAUGGGUCUGGGAAAGAUAUUGUUUCGGUGGGGGAUGGGCUCGCGGCCUAUCAGCUUGUUGGUGGGGUGAUGGCCUACCAAGGCGGUGACGGGUAGCCGGCCUGAGAGGGUGGACGGUCACACUGGGACUGAGACACGGCACAGACUCAUAAGGGAGGCAGCAGUGGGGAAUAUUGCACAAUGGGCGCAAGCCUGAUGCAGCGACGCCGCGUGAGGGAUGGAGGCCUUCGGGUUGUGAACCUCUUUCGACAGUGAAGCAGGCCUGCCUCGUUUGUGGGUGGGUUGACGGUAGCUGGAUAAGAAGCGCCGGCUAACUACGUG
rnacentral:rRNA from 1 species